UCCUGACCUCGUGAUCGGCCCACCUCGGCCUCCCCAAGUGCUGGGAUUACAGGCGUGAGCCACUGCGCCCAGUCCACUUUCAAAGUUUUGCCUUUCACAACUAGAUCUUUAAUCAACUGGCUUUUAUUUUUGAUAUGAUGUGAACUAGGGAUCUAGCCAUAUUUGCUUUGCAUAUGGAUAAUCAAUUGUGCAAACACCAUUUGUAGAAUAUUUCAUCCUUUCCCAAAUAAUCUACAAGGCAACUUCUGUCUCAAAUUUCCAAGUGUCAUGGGUCUUUUGCUGGGUUCCUCUUCUCUUCCAGUGGCUGAUUUGUGCAUCCCCUGAACACUUCACUGUCCUAAUUCCUUUACCAUAAUAGCAUGCACACAAAUCUUCAACCUUCCAUUAUCCACUGACCUCUAUGCCAUUCUUAUUCUUUGAAAAUAUCUUCAUUUAAGUUCUACUAGAAGCAGAGCCUGAGUCAAGGAUUCAGGUACAAGCAUUUGUUAAGAAGGUGCUUUCAAGAAGCACAGGUAAGAGGGUGGGAAGUGAGAUAGGGAAGGGAAGAAAGCCAACAGAUGGUGCAUUUAUGAGCAGGUUGCCACAAAGGGUAACUGGGGCUCAAACUCACUAGGCCCUUCAAAGAUACUGCAGCUGAGGGGCGGGGGAGCUGCAGUAUUUAUCCACCGUCAUUCCUCAUGGCUGUUUUAAAAUGGACACAAGAUUUACGUUAAUCAGAUAUACUAAGACACACAGAUAUGGAAAUGACUGUCCUGAAGGAAGGAGUUUUUGAUACUCGGAGGUGGAGCAGCCUCUCCAGGAACAGCAAGGCCCCAGCUGUCAACACAUCAGGAAAUACAGGAAAUGAAAAGACAUGAUGAAUACACUGAGGGUGCUCUUGAAGGCAUGAGCCCCUGGCAUGUAUGUGGCUGGUAAUGCCAAGGGCCAUGGGGACAGCACGAACAGUGUCUGCUGCACUAUAUUUUUUGUUUGUUUGUUUGUUUUUUUUUUGAGAUGAAGUCUUGCUCUGUCACACAGGCUGUAGCGCAUUGACAGGAUCUCGGUUCACAGCAUCCUCCGCCACCCGGGUUAAAGCAAUUCUCCUGCCUCAGCUUCCCAAGUAGCUCAGACUACAGAUGUGCACCACCAUGCCCGGCCAAUUUUUUUGUAUUAUAGUAGAGAAGAGGUUUCACCAUGUUGGCCAGGAUGGUCUCGAUCUCUUCACCUUGUGAUCUGCCUGCCUCAGCCUCCCAAAGUGCUGGGAUUACAGGUGUGAUUUAAUAUAUUAUUAAAUGCAAUAGGAUGGACAAUUGAAGGAGAUAACAGAGCCCCAAAAAGAGACCCAUAUCUAUGUAUUUGGGAAUUUGAUAUACUGGUAUUAUGUAUUAAUGAGAAAAGGAUUAAUUAGUCAAUAAGUAAUGCUGAAUGAAUAGCCAUUCUAAUGGGAAAUAAAAUUAGAUCACUACCAUAUACUAUUUUAAAAUCCCUGCUGGAUUUUAAAAA